rnacentral:rRNA from 1 species
GCAAGUCGAACGAGAAGCAUUCUUCGGAAUGUGGACAGUGGCAGACGGGUGAGUAACGCGUGGCAACCUACCUUUCAGUAAGGAACAACAGUUGGAAACGACUGCUAAUACCUUAUACGUCCUCCGGGAGAAAGAUUUAUCGCUGAUAGAUGGGGCCGCGUUAGAUUAGCUAGUUGGUAAGGUAAUGGCUUACCAAGGCGACGAUCUAUAGCGGGUCUGAGAGGAUGAUC